rnacentral:lncRNA from 10 species
GCGAGUGAUAACAGGCUUUAAUCCUUUUAAAGCGUGUUGUGGGAUGGGAUAUUGGCGUUGAGCAGGGUAACGGUGAUUAGGUUUUAAUGGGAUGGUAAUGGGCAUGUGAUCAGUUGCCAGGGUAGGAGUAGAGAUGUCCCAUACUUGUGGGUUAAGGUGGGGGGAUAUGAGAGGAAGACGCAAAGGAGGCUUUGGGUUGGGGAGAAGGGCAGCAAUGAGAUGUGGCUGUAGUCCAGGAAUAGUCAGGGAAGCAGAUAAUUUGGUUAAAAUAUCUCGGCCUAAUAAGGGAACUGGGCAGGUGGGGAUAACUAAAAAAGAGUGCAUAAAAGAGUAUUGUCUAAGUUGGCACCAGAGUUGGGGAGUUUUAAGAGGUUUAGAAGCCUGGCUGUCAAUACCCACAACAGUUAUGGAGGCAAGGGAAACAGGCCCUUGAAAAGAAGGUAAUGUGGAGUGGGUAGCCUCCAUAUUGAUUAAGAAGGGGACAGACUUACCCUCCACUGUGAGUUACCUAGAGCGUCUGUGAUGGUCCUGUAGGCUUCUGAGGCAAUCGGGCAGUGUCAGUCUUCAGCCGCUAAGCCGAGAAGAUCUGGGAAGGAGUCAGUCAGAGAGCCUUGGGCCAGAGUUCCAGGGGCUCUGGGAGUGGCUGCCAGGUGAGUUGGACAGUCUGAUUUCCAGUGGGUUCCUGCACAGAUGGGACGCGGCUUAGGAGGAAUCCUGGGCUGCAGGCAUUCCUUGGCCUGGUGGCCAGAUUUCUGGCACCUGUAGCAAGCUCCUGGAGGAGGAGGUUCUGGAGGAACGCCUGGCCGCUGCGGUUCAGGCGUUUGGAAGUUCUUGUGUGCUGGAGAUGUGGCUGGGGUUUGUCUCCCAGUGGAGGUGUCAGAAAAUGCCACAGAGCACAGAAGACAAGAAGAGCUCCCUGCUGCAUAUAUUGCAUCUUCCGUUGGGCACAGUUUCACUGAUGUUAUCUGUAAACAGAAAGGGUGAGACGUGAUGACUCAGCCAACCCUCCAAAUCCUGAGGGUCAUCUAUGCUGCCGGAGGCAGAAAGUGUCACUCCCGUUUCACUCCCCGCAGCUGUGUUGUUUGGAAUUUCUGAAGAUUUUAUUUUUGAUGAGCAACUUUGGGAGACGAAAAAAAAAAAAAAUG